rnacentral:tRNA from 1 species
UCCAGGGUAGCCUAGUGGACAUGGCAUCUUCCCGGUAAGAGGAACGUUGUGGCUUCGAUUCCCGCCCCUGGAC